UGCUUCAUUUUUUUUUUAUUUUUCUGCCUUUUAUUUGAUUGUUUCCUUUUGUGUAAAUGGCAAAUGCAGUAAACCCUUAAAAAGAGUAUCCGAAGUUACCACACACGAAGGGUUUCUAUGAUCCCUUGAGGGACCGAUAUGUUGUCCUAAAAACAUCGUACUCAAAUGCAAUUUAUCUUACCCCCUAUAGAAAAUGUCGUAUUUCGCAAACACCUCAAAGGUUUUCAAUAAUCAAUCAAGAUUGGUUCAUUCAUAAUGCAACGGUCAUCAUUUGUAGAAGUACCCGGCGAGAUGGUGGCCAUUUGAGGUAGGUGUUUAACUUAUUAAUCACUCUAUAGGGCAAUUUCCAACUGUUCUGGGGCUUGCAAUGUCACAGACUCGCCUACUUAAAGAACCGACGACCUCGUCAGUGUUGGCCUGUAUCACCCGGCAACCGUCCCCUUAUGCGAUGUGUCGGUUCUUUGAGUUCUAUGCAGCUAUGACUACAUAUCCCGAAAAUUAAAAUGAUGAAGCAGUGGGCAGAAAUAUACCAGUGAGGCAAGAUAUCUUCGCAAAGGCAAAGCUUUUGAUUCUGUGCUUUGUCAUCGAGGAAAAAAUCCGGAGCUUCGAGAACACAGUGACGCUUGAUCCGAAGUAAGCUUUUGCGGCGCAUGUGCAGCUGGAUGCAGUGGGAUGUGCAGCGAAAGGAGCGUUUUGGAUUGACAAGCCAAUCAGGUUAGCAUGUGUCGGGCGUCGAAUCUCGGACGUGACCUGAAGCUUUAAAUUAUUCAACGGAGGACGACAGAUUAUCGUAACGAUGUCGCGAUAUCCGAAGAGAGAACACACGAUGACGUCUCGACUCGAUGGAGCCCAAGCGAAAAGAGCCGACCGCUUUCUCCUGGACAGCCGACGGUCAGAGUUAGUUGACGGAACAUGCACGCGCGUGUCCAUCUGCCACCGUCCUCCUCCACGAUUCUCAGCGUGCUUUGCGAAUAGCCUCUGCCCGUCUCAAACGCGAGACCGCGAUCGAUGAUGGAUCAGACCAGAUGGGAAAAGAUCAGCCAUUGAAAUUCAUACGGACCCGGCUGCAUUAUUUCAGUGACCCGCGCAAGAGCGACCGCUUUCUCCUGGACAGCCAACGGUUGGAGUUAGUUGACGGAACAUGCACGCGCGUGUCCAUCUACCACCGUCCUCCUCCACGAUUCUCGCCGUGCAUUGCGAAUGGCCUCUGCCCAUCUCAAACGCGAGACCGCGAUCGAUGAUGGAUCGGACCAAAUGGGGAAAGAUCAGCUAUUGAAAUGAUGAUGCGACGCCCCGUCGUACGGGCCCUACUGCAUUAUUUCAGUGACCCGCGCAAGAACCCAAGGCUGUCUCAAACCUUCCCUCUUUCAGUCGUCUUCUUGUUCAUUGCGCCAUUACAGAACUUGAAACCAGAGUUUGUAGCUCCUUUAAGUUCUGCCCAACAAAUUCUCUCAACUUGUAGUGAAGACCGGCCGCUCACAUUUUAUAUAGUGUUCCAUGAAUUAGCUACAAGGGUUUUCUAUAUUUUGACCAUUCGGUCAUUCGGCCUCAAAUGGUAUGCAUCCCAAUCAACUUCAUAUUUGAAUUUGAAAAGGUUC